rfam:Dipodomys ordii contig_67501, whole genome shotgun sequence.
GGUGGCUCAGUGGUAGAGUGCUUGCCUAGCAUGCAUGAGGCCCUGGGUUCCAUUCCUCAGCACCA